rnacentral:rRNA from 1 species
UACGUAGGGUGCGAGCGUUAAUCGGAAUUACUGGGCGUAAAGCGUGCGCAGGCGGUGAUGUAAGACCGAUGUGAAAUCCCCGGGCUUAACCUGGGAACUGCAUUGGUGACUGCAUCGCUCGAGUAUGGCAGAGGGGGGUAGAAUUCCACGUGUAGCAGUGAAAUGCGUAGAGAUGUGGAGGAAUACCGAUGGCGAAGGCAGCCCCCUGGGUCAAGAUUGACGCUCAUGCACGAAAGGCGUGGGGAGCAAACAGG